GAGUAGUUAAAAGAUAGAACAAUCUAAUCAAGUGCCAUGUUUCUUAUUCUUGAUCAGCUAUAGCUCUGGAGUUUUUGUAGAUUUUCAAAUAAAACUCAGAGAUUCCUUGUAUGACUCUCUUAGAUCUCUCUUUUGUGGUAUUUCUGGAUCCUUACCAAGGCAAUGAUGGUGUAUGCCUUCUCUCUCACCCUACUCUAAUAAGGUUUUGAUAUCUGGAGCUCAUAGGUGGGAGACAACUAAUACAUACUUACAAGACAUUUAUUGCAUAGUCAAACCAUGGAUCUAGAAGAACAAGUCAAUAAGUCAAAUCAAGAUGUGCAUGUAUGGCAAAUGAAUGGUGUAUGGUAAUGAUGGUGAUAAUGGUGAAAAUAAUGGUGAGAGUCUAAUUCUACUUUUGCUCUUUUGAGGGGAUACAUACCUUUCUUGCACUUUGAAGCAUUUUUGAGGGGGAAUGAGGUGCUCUAUAUUUUCUUUUUCUUUUCUCUCAGGUGGGUAUCUUGUACCCCUAAUUCUACUGUCGGACACUUGUCCAUUUUUACCUCUCGUCUCACUUUUUCUUUUCUUCGAGGUUCCGAGCACUUGCCCCUUUUUAUUUCCUCGUAUUCACUUUUUUUUCAAAGCACUCACCCUUCUGGAAUAAUAUAGCAAGUGGUAGUAACCAAAAUAUCUUGAGCAUUUAUUUCACGGGGAAUAACAGGGAUAGGAUAAUGUUUUUGGCUAUUCUCUCCCGGAUAGGAGUAAAAUAAUUUUGGGUGAAUUUGGAGAUGAAAAUGAGUGGAUGUAUGUGG
rnacentral:lncRNA from 1 species